ACGCUUCCUCGCUGGCUGCAUCAAGCCAUCGUCCGAGCUGGAAGUGGUCGCCAUGAGCGGCUUUGCUUUGCUUUGGAAACAGCCUCCGUCUCCCUCCUCACCUCUUGUCCCGGUUCGCGUGACCUCCCGGCGGCCGGUCGGCCUCCCACACCUGUUCCCCAUUAGCUGCGGUCUGGACUCUUGGCGUCAAACAUCUCCAUGUCCCCCCCCCUCCCGGCCAUACUGAGCCCACCUCCUCCUUUCUCAGGGUCAAUCCACGCCCCCGUUGUCCCGCUCAGGCCAACAGCACAACAGGCAUGGCGAGGACGGAGGAAGGGAAAGUGAGAAAACAGACAGAGAGGGAAAGGACUGGAUGGAGUGAGUGAGUGAGUGAGUGACGAGCGAAACAAAAGAGCUUCAAGAGGCUCCCAUCAAAAUGUCGCUCGCAUACGCCCUGAGCCCCGAGACUUUGAAAGCAGUGUGAAAUUGACCUUAUGUGUGACAAGGGGCGUAGCAACAAAAGCGACAAGAUGAUGACUUCGAUUGAGUCAUUGCUGGAUGACAUUUCCUUCCAUUGGUCCGUUCAUUUUGACUUUGCUUUUUUUCUUUUAUGAGUGGCCAACCACCGGCAAUUUGCUUUGCCGCGACUCCAAAUGCGAAUGGAUGGUUUGGCAACGUUGCAGAUGUUACGGCCAUUUGAUGAAUUUGCAUGACUGAAAUGUCAUAUGGCCACAUUUGUCCUUUUCCACGUCUCUUUCCUUUUCUUUUGUGGAGGAGACACAUGUCAGACAUUAUGCAGGAAUGUAAAUAUUUCUGUAAACACACAGAC